GCCUCAUGUCUGCAGCGAUAAACAUCCCAAUAGAUUUGGUGAUGGCUUUAGCCCGGUCUGAAAACGGCGAAGAAUUGGGAUGCAGCCAUAGACAGCCAUUAACUGGCGUGCAGUCACACUGUGUGACUGAAGUUUUAUAACUGGGAGCUGUGACAGGACAUGUAAAAUAUGGGACACCGCGUCAGGCGAGGGACUGCACACACUGGAGGGCCACAGGGCCAAGAUUUCCACUGGGUCCUUUGAUAAGACCUGCAGGAUGUGGAGAGCCGAGAUGGGCAAAUGUUUACACACCUUCCGAGGACACACUGUGGAAAUAGUAGGAGGGACUUUCUGAGAGAUUGGACUUGUCUUUCAGUAUAAAUAGGAUUGCAGUGAGCUUCGAAUCUGAUUUUCUAUGUGAAUGGCAGCUAACACAGUUUUCGGGGCCUACCAGGUAUGUUUGGCGUUUAACCAACCUUGGUGGCCAUGGGUAGCAUGGACACUACGGACAAGCUAUGGGACGUCCAGACUGGAGAGGAGGUGGCUACACUGACAGAAAUGGUCUCUCUCUCUCUGUCUCUCUCUCUCUCUCUCUCUCUCUCUCUCUCUCUCUGUCUCUCUGUCUGUCUCUCUCUCUCUCUCUCUCUCUGUCUGUCUCUCUUUCUCUCUCUCUCUCUCUCUCUCUCUCUCUCUCUCUCUCUCUCUCUCUCUCUCUCUCUCUCUGUCUCUGUCUCUCUCUCUCUCUCUCUGUCUGUCUCUCUUUCUCUCUCUCUCUGUCUCUCUCUCUCUCCCCCUCUCUCUCUCUCUCUGUCUCUCUGUCUCUCUCUCUGUCUCUCUCUCCCCCUCUCUCUCUCUGUCUGUCUGUCUGUCUGUCUGUCUGUCUGUCUGUCUGUCUGUCUGUCUGUCUGUCUGUCUGUCUGUCUGUCUGUCUGUCUCUCUCUUUCUCUCUCUCUCUUUCUCUCUCUCUCUGAAGCUGUGACUGUAAUGCAUUCAUUAGGUAAUCCAUCUAUCUACAUACUCAACUACAGGACAUGCAGCUUCCUGCUGCACGUGGGCAAACUGUGUGGCUCUGUGUGCUCCUCUCUACCUCUUAUCUACAUCUCCUACUUCAAUUAUUCCUACAUUAGUCAUGCUGGUGAAUAUGGAGACUCAAGCACAAAAAGGAAAAUGUGUUCCUCGAACUGAAUUGGAUGAAAUUGUGCAAUUUAGCUUUUUCAAAGGAGAAAGAAUACCUCAUUUAUUUGACUGUUCUUUUGUGAACUCUGCAAGUGUAACGAAUCAAAUUCUCUUCUCUCUUUCAUGUUUUUUGUUUGUUCCCUCUCUCUCCCUUUCUCUCUCCCUUUCUCUCUCCCUCUCUCCCCCCCCCCCUUCUUUCUCCUUCCUCUCUCAGGGCCACUCAGCAGAUAUCAUCUCCUUGUCGUUUAACACAGUGGGUGACCAGCUAGUCACUGGCUCCUUUGACCACACUGUUUCUCUGUGGGAUGUUCCAUCUGGGAGGCGUGUCCACACACUGAUAGGUCACAGAGGGGAGAUAAGCAGUGUUCAGUUUGACUGGGACUGCUCCCUUCUCAUCACCGGCUCCAUGGACAAAAGCAGUAGGUAUGUGUUUGUGUACCGGAGUGUGUGCGUGUGUCUCUGCUUCCCCAGGUGUGGGAGGCAGCGAGUGGGAAGUGUAUGGCCACACUAGCAGGCCAUGAAGACGAGGUGCUGGAUGUGUGUUUUGACUACACCGGUCAACUCAUAGCCACUGCCUCGGCAGACGGCACAGAGAGAGUGUCCAGCGCUGCCAGACUGGAGGGACAGGAGGGAGAGAUACCCAAGAUCUGUUUUAGCGCUCUCAAGCCAGUAGAGUUCUGUCGGCCAGCGCUGACAUGAUGGCUCGCCUGUGGGAUGUCCAGUCUGGCGUCUAUCUUCAGGUCCCAGAGGGAUACACGGAUGAGAUCUUCUCCUCCGCCUUCAACUACGAGGGUGACACCAUCACAGGCAGCAAGGACAACACCUGUCGCUGACCCGUCCUACGGUCAGUAGAUUGUGUGAGGAAGGGAAGGUCAUCUGGACAGGUGACUCCAGUCUGACUACUGAUGUCCAUCCCCCAACAAGAAGAUGACUCCAACAGGGCCUUGUCUGAAGAUGCCCUUCCCCGGAAGUUAUCACUGACCCAAUGUAUGUGACCAGUAUGUGAUUCAGUAGACCGGAUAGCUUUGGUGAGUUACUAUGGUCCCACUGUCAUUUUACUACGUAGCACUGUAGACAGACAGUUUAGCGCAUUGGGUGCGUCCCAAAUGGCACCCGAUCCCUAUUAAGUGCACUACUUUUGAGCAGGGCCUAUAGAGCUUUUCAGCCUGCAUUCACCAGUUAGGAUUUGACCUGGACUGGUCACUUUGGUCCUCUGUCAUGUUCAGUGUUGAUAGUCAGUGUUUGUUUGUGUGUUAAUUGGAGAAUGGGCUGGACGGAAGAAUGUUUUCUGUACCCAUCUUUUCCUCAAUAAAAACUAUUCAUGCUCACAUAUUACAUUAAUUUAUUGAUCUCAAAA